GACGAACGCUGGCGGCGUGCCUAAUACAUGCAAGUAGAACGCACAGGAUGCACCGUAGUUUACUACACCGUAUUCUGUGAGUUGCGAACGGGUGAGUAACGCGUAGGUAACCUGCCUGGUAGCGGGGGAUAACUAUUGGAAACGAUAGCUAAUACCGCAUAAGAACAUUUACUGCAUGGUAGAUGUUUAAAAGGUGCAAGAGCAUCACUACCAGAUGGACCUGCGUUGUAUUAGCUAGUUGGUGAGGUAACGGCUCACCAAGGCAACGAUACAUAGCCGACCUGAGAGGGUGAUCGGCCACACUGGGACUGAGACACGGCCCAGACUCCUACGGGAGGCAGCAGUAGGGAAUCUUCGGCAAUGGGGGGAACCCUGACCGAGCAACGCCGCGUGAGUGGAGAAGGUUUUCGGAUCGUAAAGCUCUGUUGUUAAGGAAGAACGUGUGUGAGAGUGGAAAGUUCACACAGUGACG
rnacentral:rRNA from 1 species